CAAGUUUUGGAAGCUGGAAGUGUUUUGGGAGAACUUGGUUGUGGCCAAGCAGUGGAGCAGCGGUCAUAUGAGACUAUUUUCAUGAUGGCAAAAACCUCGGCAAAAACAUUAUCGUUCCUUCUGGGAAUUUUGCACCAAGAAUGGAUCACAGAAAUCACACCGAGCCAUCGGAACACGGGAGCCGCGCCGCAAUACGGACCGUUUUGUUUCUGAAAACCCUCCUUUAAUACUAACGGCGACAGAAUCGAAAUCGCCCAUCAGACUUCUGCUGUUGCGCUGUGCAAUGGACUGUCGUUGGCCUGUUCCAUCAUGCACCUAUAUUCAUCUGAAGAUCCCAAGGAACCCCGCCCAUUCGAACGGACUAUAUUUGCUACGGACCCUCUUGUCUCGAAUAAUCGGUAUUUGCCCAAGUUCUUCCAGAGUAUCCAGUGAGAAGCUGACAAUGAACAACUGACGAUGUUGAAUGUUCGACCUCGUUUUCAACAAAGAUGAUUCAAGGAAUGGGAGCAUACCUGUAUGCGUGAAUGGCAUCCAAUCUACAAAUUAGUGCACAGACUUUCAAACGACCAUUUUUGUACAGAAAAUCGUUUAAAACUCAAUAUUGGAAUGUUUUCACUACACAGUUCGUACAGUUCGAUUUACGUCCACCACUUUGUAAUAUUUGGCUUGUAAGACUGUAAGGCUUGACUUGACGUUUUUAUGUAUUACUAGCAGACCCGACGAACUCCGUUUCGCCCAAAAUUGAGGUAUGAAGAAAUAGGUGUUUCAUUUGUAUGGGAGCCCCCCUUUUCAAAGUGGGGAGGGGUCUCGAACCAUUUUAAGAACCUUCCCCGGUCCCAAAAACUUUUGCAUACAAAUUUUCACGCCGAUCGGUUCAGUAGUUUCGGAGUCUAUAAGGUUCAGACAGACAGAAAUUCAUUUUUAUGUAUAUAGAUGUAAGAUGUAUACAGUCGGCAUUCGCUGGUUGGGAUCUUAAUACUUGGGUCACUUUUUAGUUGGGCCUCCGCUGGUUGGGCCAUGACCCAACUAAAAAGCAUCCGUACGUCAAAAUUCAAUGUAAACACAGAAAACGGAAUUGAGCGUCACUGGACAUCAUUUGUGAUGUUCAAGUCGAAAUACACGUGUUCAAAUGGCUGUCAGUUGACCCAACUAAAAAAUCGAAUUCGUUAGUUGGGCCGAGAUCGUGGCCCAACCAGCGAAUCGCGACUGUAUAGAUUUUAAUUUAGUUUCAAUUAAAGUAGGUAAAUAUUAAUCUGUUUUUUUUUCUCAAUUUUCGAAGUUAUUUUAUUUUAUUUUUUUUAAUUCAAAUUACAUAUAACAAAAUAAAAUCUCAAAAAAUAAACUGAAAUGAAGUAUCUUAAUACUAGAAAUCAUCAUUGUACAUGAAAAAAGGUUAGGUUUCUCUAUUAAAAACCUUAUAAGGUUUCUCUAUUUUCAACAUAAGCUUGUACAAAAUUUCAUUUGUUGUAGGUAUUGAAAUUUAAUAAUUAUUUUAAAAUAGAAAAUGAUUGCUUGGGCUUAAUACGUGAAAUAUGUUCACUUGGAAUAAGAUGAGUUAGUACGAUUCCAUUCAAUGCCACAACUUUGUUACUCUGCAGAUACUUAUUUCGACCUUUAUGCUAAUGUUGGAAUACAUAUCUGCAAAGGAAUAAAGUAGUGAAAUUGAAUGGUAUAUACCUAUAUAUAGUAUUAACUAGUCUUAUGAAAUGUAAAAAUAUAUGCUAACGGAUUUUUAAUG